UACGUAGGUGGCAAGCGUUGUCCGGAAUUAUUGGGCGUAAAGCGCGCGCAGGCGGUCCUUUAAGUCUGAUGUGAAAGCCCACGGCUCAACCGUGGAGGGUCAUUGGAAACUGGGGGACUUGAGUACAGAAGAGAAGAGUGGAAUUCCACGUGUAGCGGUGAAAUGCGUAGAGAUGUGGAGGAACACCAGUGGCGAAGGCGGCAUUCUGGACUGUAACUGACACUGAGGAACGAAAGCCAGGGGAGCAAACGGG
rnacentral:rRNA from 1 species